rnacentral:other from 1 species
GGCGGGCUGCCCGGUGCGUGAGAUGACAUUUUUUCCCUGGGGCCUAUGCGUUUCCGAAUGGGAGCUGUCCCUGGGCUUGGCCGUGGCCUUGCCCAAACGGCGCCCACCUACACUUGUAGGGACCCGGGAUCGUUAGUCACUCACGGCCCAUGGUGGCUCGCCA